GAUGAACGCUGGCGGCGUGCCUAAUACAUGCAAGUCGAGCGAAAAGACGAGGAGCUUGCUCCUCUGACGUUAGCGGCGGACGGGUGAGUAACACGUGGAUAACCUACCUAUAAGACGGGGAUAAUUUCGGGAAACCGGAGCUAAUACCGGAUAAUAUAUUGAACCGCAUGGUUCAAUAGUGAAAGACGGUUUUGCUGUCACUUAUAGAUGGAUCCGCGCCGCAUUAGCUAGUUGGUAAGGUAACGGCUUACCAAGGCAACGAUGCGUAGCCGACCUGAGAGGGUGACCGGCCACACUGGAACUGAGACACGGUCCAGGCUCCUACGGGAGGCAGCCGUAGGGAAUCUUCCGCAAUGGGCGAAAGCUUGACGGAGCAACGCCGCGUGAGUGAUGAAGGUCUUCGGAUCGUAAAACUCUGUUAUUAGGGAAGAACAAAUGUGUAAGUAACUAUGCACGUCUUGACGGUACCUAAUCAGAAAGCCACGGCUAACUACGUG
rnacentral:rRNA from 1 species